rnacentral:misc_RNA from 1 species
CUUCUAUGCCUUUCAAAGACAAAUAUAAAUGACUGGAUAUCUCGACACCAACCCCAUUCAGCAGGCCAAUUACGAAAUUGUAGAUAUCGUGUCUGCUCCACAAGUGAGAAUAGACAAGCUAAGCAAUAACUGGCCUUUGUACCCUUGGUGCAUCGUAAAGUAGCGAACUUCAAAAAAGAGUUGCGCUGAAAGAAUAUCUUUGACAUCACAUCUUCAAGCUCUGCAAAGCCAUCUUCAAUUAAUGAUUCAUCAAUGGCUUCAUCAUUAUCUGCGUCUCCGACUCCAUAAAGCUUAAUUUCAUCAACUGAUACCCCUUGUUCAACUAACACCUGUAGAAGCCCAGGAGCAUCUUCCUCCAGAGCAGUUUCAAUUGAAUCCGUGGCAGUCUUCUUCCUUUUCCGUGGACGGUUGAUCCUUAUUGGGUUUGAAGCUUCCAUGACAGCAGGGUCAUUAUCAACAGAGGGGCCACUUUUCCUCAAGCAUUCAAAAUUCCCUGAACUAUUUAAUUUAGAAUCCUCUCUCGGUGUCAGCAACUUCAUCCGAUUACGCAAUUGCAUGUGAUCUAUGUUGUCUCUAUUGAGUUCAUCAGGGAACUCAAUUUCAGUCUUUGCUUGUACUAUGUUAAAAGAAAAGUUACCACUAGCAUUCCUUCUUGAGCUGUUUGAUUCAUUGUUAUUCAAUGGUUCAGCCUUCACUCGGACCAAAUUCAAUAAGGUUGAACCAGACACGCUAUUUGCGCUCGCAGGUACCUUAUCAAGUGCAUCAUAUGAUGUUUCCUCCAGAAUUGGCUUUUCAAUCCUCAACAUUUUCCUUGAUAGCAGCAUCCUGUGCCUCUCUUUUAGUACAAUGUGAUCAAGAUCAUCUACAAAGUCAUCAGAAUUAUUAAUCUUGAGCUUCAGUUCUUCAACAUUAGCACCAAUGGAGCCAAUCAUACUGCCGCCUAAUAAACUCUGAUCUGAAUAAAAGCUUCUAUUUACUUUAGUCCAACAGCUGUCACAAUCUCCUUGCAUGGCCAGUUGGUAAGCAGUUGCAUUUUGUGCACAUUUAUCAGCUGCAUCACAAUCCACCUGAAUUUUGUUGCACGCUACUACUGGAUCAACUCCCGAAGAAGCUCUAGUUUCAUGACUUUCUGGUUGCACUGACUGCUGAUCUAUGUCUUUAUUGAUGGGGGAAACCUGCUGCCAAUCACUUUCCUGUUCCUCAUUUCCCUUCUUUAUAACGAUCGUUUGAGGGGUUGAUUGACUGUCAGGCGAGCAUGAAUUCAACUUCCUUGCCAGUAACAGCUGUCGCCGAAACCCCAAUGGAAUAUAAUCGAGCUCACUGACCCAAUCAACGUCAUUAGCUUCAUACUCGGCUUUAAUCGAAAAGCCAUUGGAAUCGCAGAAUUGAGCCAUCUAUUUUCUCACUCCAACUUUCUAUUGACAAGCU